rnacentral:rRNA from 1 species
UACAGAGGUCUCAAGCGUUGUUCGGAUUCAUUGGGCGUAAAGGGUGCGUAGGCGGCGCGGUAAGUCGGGUGUGAAAUCUUGGAGCUUAACUCCGAAACUGCAUUCGAUACUGCCGUGCUUGAGGACUGGAGAGGAGACUGGAAUUUAGGUGUAGCGGUGAAAUGCGUAGAUAUCAUAAGGAAGACCAGUGGCGAAGGCGGGUCUCUGGACAGUUCCUGACACUGAGACACGAAGGCCCAGGGGGAGCAAAACGGGG